AUGCAGUCGACGGGCUCUUCGGAGCAAGUGGCGGACGGGUGAGUAACGCGUGAGAAUGUGCCUUCAGGAUGGGGAUAACAAUAGGAAACUAAUGCUAAGACCCAAUGUGCCUUAAGUGGUGAAAAAUGAAAAUUGCCUGAAGAGGAGCUCGCGUCUGAUUAGCUAGUUGGGGUGGUAAAAGCGCACCAAGGCAACGAUCAGUAGCUGGUCUGAGAGGAUGAGCAGCCACACUGGGACUGAGACACGGCCCAGACUCCUACGGGAGGCAGCAGUGGGGAAUUUUCCGCAAUGGGCGAAAGCCUGACGGAGCAAUACCGCGUGAGGGAGGAAGGCUCUUGGGUUGUAAACCUCAAAACUUAGGGAAGAAAAAAAUGACGGUACCUAAUUUAAGCAUCGGCUAACUCCGUGCCAGCAGCCGCGGUAAUACG
rnacentral:rRNA from 1 species